rnacentral:misc_RNA from 1 species
AACGGUCUAUACCUGCGGUACCUGCGGAAGGAUCAUUAAUGAGAAGCUGCCCCUCGUGGGUAGACCUCCCACCCUCUGUGAACUUACCUUUGUUGCUUUGGCAGGCCCGUCCUCUGGACCGCCGGCUUCGGCUGGCCCGUGCCUGCCAGAGGAUUCCAAACCCUGUCUGUCAGUGUUGUCUGAGUCUAUAUGAAAUCGUUAAAACUUUUAGCAAUGGAUCUCUAGAUCGGAAGAGCACAC